GUCCUCUGAAUGGUUCAAGUGUCUCCUCACUCAGGUGCUGAGUCUCCUGUCACUAUGGGGAGAAGUUCCCAAACAGCAUCAGAACCCGCGUGAACUCUUUGGGGUCAGGCUUCCAUUUGGCUGAGCCCUGUGUCCUGGGGCAGCCAGAGCUGCUGUGCUGAGUAGCCUGUUUCAUGAAGCGAACGCUAAAUCCAGAGACCUUACUCAACCAGAGGGUUCUCAUUUAUGUAUUAGAUUUAGUAUCCAAAUGAUCCUAUAAACACAGCUAUGGAACAGGAGCUGCAAUCUAUUUAGCAAGGUCUGUUGCCAUGUAUGUUCAUCAGUGAGUUGGGAUCAGAGUGGGUGUAGGUCCUGGGGAUGGAUGACUGGAGUUAGCAAAGAAGAAAGAGGUGUGGGUGGAUGGAGUAAGAUUUCAAAAGAGAAGGUGAAUUCACAACUGCACUUUUUCUAGCUGGUCUACAACAGUACUGCAGCUGCAAUGAUGUGUGGAGUCUGGAAAAGGGAAUAAACUGUCUCCUAAAGCCCAGUUUAGUGGAGGGAAUAGAACAGCAACUGCAAUGCAGAUUAAAACCAUUCUCCUUUGCCCUGUCUGUCAGACCGUGUAAAAUGUCAAUCCCCCUCCUGCUUGUGAGCUCCCUUCUGGAAGGCCACAGUGAGCCUUUUCUUAAGUUGGUUCCUUUCCCAGAGUUGGUCUUAAAGGACAUCCCGCAGAAAUCUGCUCUCAGCCAGUGCCUGCAGAUGUAGCCCUCUCCCACUUGCACGAAUGCUGUGCACUUACAUCUCCUGCACCCCGUUAAUGGAUAGAUUACUGGACAGAGCCCAGCUGUGUGAUGGUGCUGGCACACUCAGCAGGAAGCAGCAGUUCUUGCUUUGAGCAUCAGCCAUCACAGAGGACCUGAGCAAUGAACUGAGCGUGUAGAUUUAUUUGCAGGGUGAGGGAUGAUUAAGGUGAGACGCCUUUGACACGCUGAUGGACUGGGUGAAGGGGCUUUGCUGGAUACCUUAUGACUGCCCAUGGGAUACAGCUGGAAAAGGUCUUUUGUUUCCACCACAUGGUAAGAGCAUCACCUCAGGAGUGUCCCUGCUGCUGCCCACGCCCAGCAAAGCCUCGGGCCCAGCUUGGCUCAGAGCUCUGCUCCCAAACUCACAGUGCAAGCAGUCUCACACAGACUGCAGUCCUCAGUGUGACAUCAGCACCGAUGGCACUGCUGGCCACCAUAGAUUAGGUAUGAGAUUUUUCACCCUGUCUUCAAUCCAGGUGACAGCAGGUGAAGGCUGACAGCGCCUGCUGCUGUUCAGCUGGAAGGAGGUGAUGGUGCCAGGCUGCAGGGGCAGCUGGGUGACACCACAUAAAGAGCAGCAAGUUGCCGACCAUCCCAGCAGAGGGGGGAGGGAGGCCAUGACCUGUUGCUCCCCACUGCAGGCACAGCCUUGGUGGCAAAGUUUGGCUGCAGUAGAUGAGAGAUAAGCCCUGUGUGUAAUCACACCACACAGCCUCCAGGAGAGAAGCAAAGGCUCCAUUCUGCUGUGGCACUCAGCCCUUACCUGCACAGUUGUCACUGUCAAGGAGACACCAGGUGAACUUAAGAAAAGUGAAACAUCGUGAGAAAAAAUGGGGAAUGAACCAGAGAGACAGAAUCUUACAAUAACACCCAUGUAAACACAGACCUAGUUUUUAUCUUGUGCAGAGAGAUUGUUUUUGAGAACAAAUGCAGAGUGAAAUGAAUUCAUAAACUUCUGUACCAGGUGCAAUCAUUAGUCAGUAAAUGAAUUACACAUAAUUAUCUGCUUUGUAUUUAAUUCACAUGGCUUCCAGUUUCUUACUCUUCGUACAGUGAAACUAUCUCUCUCACACAAACACACUCUCCAUGGGCAAGGAGGUUUUGGAGGACUGCCAUCAUCCUGACUCAUGAAUCAGACUCCAUGAUUUGAAUGAUAUUUAUCUAAGCCUGCAAACAAAGAAGAUGGCUAUGUGUCCAAUGAGAGAAUAAUUAUUGUUAUUAUGUUUAUAGAGCAACAAAGUUGGGAGUUAGGACCCCGGGGGAAAGGUAGCAGGAAGGGCGAGCUGGGCAGAGGCAGGAGGAGGCUGUAGGCAGGGUUUCAGUGCAGGGAUGUGCCAGGGCCUUAGCAGAACUCCCCACUUCUGAGUCACCUUUGCCAGGCAUCGCUCAGUGGCCACGGCAGGCAGCGAGGUGAUGCUUGCUUCCGUGGGAUGCUGCCAGGGCUUUGGCAGCGGCUGAAAGCUUGAGGUUGGCUCAGAGCACCCCAGGCAGGUCCAUCACCAAGGGGAUAGAGGACAGGGAUGUGCCUGUGUGGCACAUCCAGAAAGGGAAAGAAACUUAUAACAGGGAAAAGCUUCCUUUGCACGUAGCGCAGCUGCUGCCUCAGCAGAUGGCUGAGACACAAAAAUGUCCCUCGGCAUGGCAGUGGGCUCACCUUGCUUUGUGACUUCAGUGCACGCGUGGGAGAGGAGCGCUGCUCACUGCAUGGGAGAGCUCUGGAUGCUGUGACAGUGGCAGUGCCACAUGGGAGCCAGGUCAGUGCUCUGUGCACCUAAGGCAGUGCUGGAGGAGACUGCCUGUUGGGGCCAUCUGUGGCAGGCAGUAAGCUUGGGAGAACAGUGUCCUGGCACGCAGCCUGGGAACUUCCAUUAAAAGAUGUAGCUCCACUGCACUGCAACUCCCAGUGCCAGACGUGGCAUCUUCAG